AUUGAACGCUGGCGGCAUGCUUUACACAUGCAAGUCGAACGGUAACAGGCCGCAAGGUGCUGACGAGUGGCGAACGGGUGAGUAAUGCAUCGGAACGUGCCCAGUCGUGGGGGAUAACGCAGCGAAAGCUGCGCUAAUACCGCAUACGAUCUAUGGAUGAAAGCGGGGGACCGAAAGGCCUCGCGCGAUUGGAGCGGCCGAUGUCGGAUUAGCUAGUUGGUGGGGUAAAGGCCUACCAAGGCGACGAUCCGUAGCUGGUCUGAGAGGACGACCAGCCACACUGGGACUGAGACACGGCCCAGACUCCUACGGGAGGCAGCAGUGGGGAAUUUUGGACAAUGGACGCAAGUCUGAUCCAGCCAUGCCGCGUGCGGGAAGAAGGCCUUCGGGUUGUAAACCGCUUUUGUCAGGGAAGAAAUCUUCUGAGUUAAUACCUCGGGAGGAUGACGGUACUUGAAGAAUAAGCACCGGCUAACUACGUGCCAGCCGCCGCGGUAACAC
rnacentral:rRNA from 1 species